UACGGGGGGGGGCAAGCGUUGUUCGGAAUUACUGGGCGUAAAGGGCGCGUAGGCGGCCUUCUAAGUCAGACGUGAAAUCCCUCGGCUUAACCCGGGGAACUGCGUCUGAUACUGGAUGGCUUGAGAUUGGGAGAGGGAUGCGGAAUUCCAGGUGUAGCGGUGAAAUGCGUAGAUAUCUGGAGGAACACCGGUGGCGAAGGCGGCACGCUGGACCUCUUCUGACGCUGAGGCGCGAAAGCCAGGGGAGCAA
rnacentral:rRNA from 1 species